rnacentral:misc_RNA from 1 species
AACGCAUAUUGCGCUCGAGCCUUCGGGCAAGAGCAUGUCUGCCUCAGCGUCGGUUUACACCCUCACCCCUCCCAACUUUGUUUGGGCGUGUCGGCUUCUCUAGCUGGCCAUAGGGGUGGAUCUGGCUUCCCCAAUCUGCCAUCUGGCGGGUUGGGCUAGCUGAAGUGCAGAGGCUUAAGCAAGGACCCGUUAUGGGCUUCAACUGGAUAGGUAGCACCGGCUUCUGCCGACUACACGAAGUUGUGGCUUGUGGAUCUUGCUAGGGGCCAAGCAGGAACAUGCCUUUGGCAUGUCUAAACUUUCGACUGAGCUCAGGCAAGGCUACCCGCUGAACUUAA